rnacentral:lncRNA from 1 species
GUCGGAAACUUGCAGCUCCCGCGCCACCCCCUUCGUCUCCCGGGAGAGCGGGCCCCCGGCGACCUAACCCGGGAGCCGUCAGACCUCCCCGGGCGUGGUCGGCCGCUCCGGGCCUCGGAGUUGGGCGGGGUCUGCGCUGCAGCGUCGUGGGUUCUCUCCGGCACAAUGUGCCGGUGCGCGGAGAGAAAAACAAAACAAAACAAAACCCAGAAACACACUCCUAAAGUGUCACCGGCAUUUGUGGAGUGGCGGGGGUCUACACUGAGCGUAUGUGCCUGGAGACGCUGGGGGGAGGGCACUGCGGCCAAGGGCAGGGCAGGGCAGGGCAGGGCAGGAGGACCGUGAAGGCCCGCUGGCCGCAGGGGAGCCCUUCCUCCCCGGGUUCCGCGGCCGGGAGCACCCCAAGCCGUGGCUAAAGGGGCCGCUCGGCUCUCCUGCACCCCGCGAGCCCCCCUCCCCCGCCUUCCCUGUGUCCCCCGGCUUUUCCAGGAGGAAGGUGGGGUGCCCAGCGGGGGCGGGGCGCGCCGGGCCGCCGGGCCGGGCUGUCACGUGCCCCCCUCCCCCGCCACUGCGGCGGGAGUUCCAAUCAGAGCGCGCCAGGGGGCUCCUCCUGGGCAGGAACCACCCGGCUUGGCGGCGGAGGGUGGGCCGCCGUCACCUGACCGCCCGCCCCCGCCCCCCGCGAGUAAGGGGCGGUGGUAGCGUCUGCUCGGUUACAAAUGGCCCCUCCCGCCCCGCUCGCCCGCUCGCUCGGGCUCGGCGCGGACCCGCCCGGGCGCGCUCCUCGCGCCGGUUCCCGGCGUCCCGCCGCCCUGCCGGGAACCGGCCAGCGGCCCCCGCCACCCCUAAGGGUGCUGCCGACACCCGGUGCAGAGGCUCGCCGGCGGAGGUCGCUACGGGAGGCUGGACCGCGGAGGCGCGCGGCUCUCCCACCCGCAGGUAUCCAGGCUCUCUGUGGGAGUCCCCUCUGAACUGCAGCCACACUGAGUCCCCUCUGAACUGCAGCCACACUGCCCUCUACUUGAUGAGUACUCGGUGGUCAGACACUCAGAUGCAACCACAAAAGGUGCCGUGCAGAUCCCAGCUACUGGUGACUCCACAAUGGCCUCUGCCCUUGGGACCACUGUCUCCUAAAACAGGACUGAAGCCUGGAACGACACUGGACGCAAAAGGCGAACACCAAACGAGAAUUCCAAAGUCAUUUCACUGCUGAGACGCUCCUCCGUGUCUGCCCGCUGAAUCUGAGAGCCGAGCAGCCCGGCGGGUCACCUGCUGGUGGAAAGGCAGAGCACAGUGACGGCUCAUCGGGGUUCACACCGACCACCGGAUUUCCUUUCGGAAUAUCUGGUUCCCGAGCCACCUCCCAGGGCGGGGAUGCGCAAGCCGUGGGGGGCUGUAUUUCCCACCGAGGACUUGCUGAAGGCAGGAGGGCCCCCCCCCAGAGAAGCACCGAUGCGCAGUCGCAGCCAGAAUGCCCUCUUCAGGAUGCAUGCCUGCGUCAUGUGAAUCCCUCCACCCUGCCUGGAACUCCUUCAAGAGUUGGCCUCACUCUGACGACAGAGCCUGGCUUCCUGUGGGCCGGCGCCGCAGCCUGGAGGCCGGGCGCACCCAGCAGGCUGAAUUCUGCCUUUUCAGAACGCUCCUCUCACGCGGCCAUCGUGCAUCCAUUCCUGGGACUCUCCGCUGAGGUAUGGCUCCUUUUCCAAAAUGCGCGCGGCCUCACUGAGAACAGCCUCCCCGUCGUGCUGAACAUCCCAGACCCUCCACUGAAGCACACUGGAUGCCACCUGACUGUGCCACCAGAAAGAAACAAGAGGACACCUGGGUGGCUCAAUCUGUUAAGGGUCCGACUUCGGCUCAGGUCAUGA